rnacentral:rRNA from 1 species
GGGCCCGCACAAGCGGUGGAGUAUGUGGUUUAAUUCGAUGCAACGCGAAGAACCUUACCAGGGUUUGACAUCCUGCGAAUCUCUUGGAAACAGGAGAGUGCCUUCGGGAACGCAGUGACAGGUGGUGCAUGGCUGUCGUCAGCUCGUGUCGUGAGAUGUUGGGUUAAGUCCCGCAACGAGCGCAACCCACGUCUUUAGUUGCCAGCAUUUAGUUGGGCACUCUAGAGAGACUGCCGGUGAUAAACCGGAGGAAGGUGUGGAUGACGUCAAGUCAUCAUGCCCCUUACAUCCUGGGCUACACACGUACUACAAUGGAUAGGACAAUGGGAUGCCACCCUGUGAAGGCGAGCUAACCCCAAAACCUAUUCUUAGUUCGGAUUGUAGGCUGCAACUCGCCUACAUGAAGCUGGAAUCGCUAGUAAUCGCUGGU